CCAUGCAUAGCGGCGCGAUUCGCCCUUAGAGUUUGAUCAUGGCUCAGGACGAACGCUGGCGGCAGGCCUAACACAUGCAAGUCGAACGCACUCUUCGGAGUGAGUGGCAGACGGGUGAGUAACGCGUGGGAACGUGCCCUUCGGUUCGGAAUAACUUGGGGAAGCUCAAGCUAAUACCGAAUGCGUCCUCAGGGAGAAAGAUUUAUCGCCGAAGGAUCGGCCCGCGUUAGAUUAGGUAGUUGGUGGGGUAAAAGCCUACCAAGCCUACGAUCUAUAGCUGGUUUGAGAGGAUGAUCAGCCACACUGGGACUGAGACACGGCCCAGACUCCUACGGGAGGCAGCAGUGGGGAAUCUUCGGCAAUGGGCGAAAGCCUGACCGAGCCAUGCCGCGUGAGUGAAGAAGGCCCUAGGGUUGUAAAGCUCUUUCAUCAGGGAAGAUAAUGACGGUACCUGAAGAAGAAGCCCCGGCUAACUCCGUGCCAGCAGCCGCGGUAAUACGGAGGGGGCUAGCGUUGUCCGGAAUUACUGGGCGUAAAGCGCGCGUAGGCGGCUUGGAAAGUCAGAGGUGAAAGCCCGGGGCUCAACUCCGGAAUUGCCUUUGAAACUUCCUCGCUUGAGUUCGGGAGAGGUGAGCGGAAUUCCUAGUGGAGAGGUGAAAUUCGCAGAGAUUAGGAAGAACACCGGUGGCGAAGGCGGCUCACUGGCCCGUAUCUGACGCUGAGGCGCGAAAGCGUGGGUAGCAAACAGGAUUAGAUACCCCAGUAGUCCUAGCUGUAAACGAUGGGUACUAGGCGUAGCUUGUAUCGACCCGAGCUGUGCCGAAGCUAACGCGUUAAGUACCCCGCCUGGGGAGUACGCACGCAAGUGUGAACUCAAAGGAUUGACGGGGCCCGCACAGCGGUGGAGUAUGUGGUUUAUUCGAUGCACGCGAGACCUUACAGGCUUGACAUCCGGCGAUCUCUGGAACAGAGAGUGCUACGGACGCCGUGACAGUGUGCA
rnacentral:rRNA from 1 species